rfam:Schistosoma margrebowiei strain Zambia genome assembly, scaffold: SMRZ_scaffold0003166
AUCUAGCUGACGAGUCCCAAAUAGGACGAAACGCGUGUCCUAGAU